rnacentral:pre_miRNA from 1 species
GGAAACUUGGAAACUACCGUUGGAUCGAGAAAUGGACGUCCAAGAUUCGUCCAUGUCAUCAUCAGUUAAAAUUUAACUCACAGAUUCACUCAUGAGUUAAAAUACUCAUGGUGACGUAGACGAAUCUUGGACGUCCAUUUCUCGAUCCAGUGGUAGUUUCUAAGUUUUC